rnacentral:tRNA from 1 species
GGGGGCAUGGCUUACGUGGUAGAGCUUCUGUCUGGCAAACAGGAGGCCCUGAGUUCAAACCCAGUACCCUCA